UCAGUGAGGCUUUCGGACUGGCCCAGAGAGGUGGGCAACUACCACUCAGGGCCGGAAAGUUAUCCAAACUCGGUCAUUUAGAGGAAGUAAAAGUCGUAACAAGGUCUCCGUUGGUGAACCAGCGGAGGGAUCAUUACUGAGUUACCGCUCAUCAACCCUUUGUGAACAUACCUUA
rnacentral:rRNA from 1 species